GACCUUAAAAACUUCUAGGGAAAGAGAUUCCACCACCUCCCUAGGUAAUUUGCCCCAGUAGCUUAACUACCCUCAUAGUUACCUUUUCCUAAUGUCUAACCUAAAUCUCUCUUGCUGCAAUUUAAGCCAAUUGCUUCUUGUCCUGCCCUCAGUGGUUAA